rnacentral:rRNA from 1 species
UGGGGAAUUUUGCACAAUGGGCGAAAGCCUGAUGCAGCGACGCCGCGUGGAGGAUGACGGUUUUCGGAUUGUAAACUCCUGUUAAGUGGGAAGAAAUACUCAUAAGUAAUAUGUAUGAGGGAUGACGGUACCACUAGAGAAAGCACCGGCAAACUUCGUGCCAGCAGCCGCGGUAAUACGAGGGGUGCAAGCGUUAUUCGGAAUCACUGGGCGUAAAGAGCGUGUAGGUGGCUAAUUAAGUCAGUCGUUAAAUUCCUCGGCCUAACCGAGGACCUGCGAUUGAAACUGAUUGGCUGGAGCUUAGAAGAGAGAAGUGGAAUUAUCGGAGUAGCGGUUAUAUGCGUAGAUCUCGAUAGGAACACCGAUGGCGAAGGCAGCUUCUUGGUCUAACGCUGACACUAAAGCGCGAAAGCGUGGGGAGCAAACAGG